rnacentral:rRNA from 1 species
AGAGUUUUGAGAUAUCUGGCUCAUGACGAACGCAUGGGCGUCGUCCCUUAAUCUUCACAUGCCAGUCGAACCGAUGCACCGCUUUCGGGCGGGGAUUAGUGGCGAACGGGUGAGUAACACGUGGGCAAUCUGCCCUGCACUCUGGGACAAGCCCUGGAAACGGGGUCUAAUACCGGAUAUGACCGUCUGCCGCAUGGUGGAUGGUGUAAAGCUCCGGCGGUGCAGGAUGAGCCCGCGGCCUAUCAGCUUGUUGGUGAGGUAGUGGCUCACCAAGGCGACGACGGGUAGCCGGCCUGAGAGGGCGACCGGCCACACUGGGACUGAGACACGGCCCAGACUCCUACGGGAGGCAGCAGUGGGGAAUAUUGCACAAUGGGCGAAAGCCUGAUGCAGCGACGCCGCGUGAGGGAUGACGGCCUUCGGGUUGUAAACCUCUUUCAGCAGGGAAGAAGCGAAAGUGACGGUACCUGCAGAAGAAGCGCCGGCUAACUACGUGCCAGCAGCCGCGGUAAUACGUAGGGCGCAAGCGUUGUCCGGAAUUAUUGGGCGUAAAGAGCUCGUAGGCGGCUUGUCACGUCGGUUGUGAAAGCCCGGGGCUUAACCCCGGGUCUGCAGUCGAUACGGGCAGGCUAGAGUUCGGUAGGGGAGAUCGGAAUUCCUGGUGUAGCGGUGAAAUGCGCAGAUAUCAGCGAGGAACACCGGGUGGCGAAGGCGGAUCUCUGGGCCGAUACUGACGCUGAGGAGCGAAAGCGUGGGGAGCGAACAGGAUUAGAUACCCUGGUAGUCCACGCCGUAAACGGUGGGCACUAGGUGUGGGGCAACAUUCCACGUUGUCCGUGCCGCCGUCUAACGCAUUAAGGUGCCCCCAUGCUGGGGUAGUCCGCCCGCGAUGGCUAAAGACUCAAAGAAAAUGUUCGACUAUAA